UGCAGAGUAGACUGUAAAGCGUUAAGUGCCGUUUGCACAGGGAGUUGGCAGAUGGACGAAGGAUUAUCCGCGGUUUUAUGGUCGCAUCCCGCUGCU
rnacentral:ncRNA from 1 species